CGGGACACGUCACAAUUAUCUCGCUAUUUUCUUUCUAUCAUCUUAGGACACACGUCGCUACAAAUAAUUAAAUUGGGUCACGGAAACUGCGCCGCCGUCUGCUUCCCUGGUUAAUAUGCUGGCAAUGUCUCGAUCGUAAACUUGGAUUCUGUUCAAUGAGGGCUGCAAUUUCGAUUGAUCAUCCCCGAUCUUUGGCUCCGAACAGUUUCCAAGCAUUUCUGAUUGAUACACUCAACGUUGCAUUCGAUUAUCCGUGCCAGAAUACCAGACGUUCGAACGAAUAAUGAACUAACCCUGCGAGGGAAACGAAAAACUUUCGACCGACGUAGUUAUAGAGGAUAAUAUCAAACUAAUUCAGGCUUAACCUAUAAUUACUAUCCAAUCCAGACACACCGUGACAUAACGUAUACUUGUAACCUAAACCAGCCAUGAGGUACAAUUUAACCUAUACUUAUAACCCAAUCCAGACUUAACGUAUAAUCUAAUUCCGGAAUUAACUAUAAUCCAAUUAAGAUACACCGUGACCUAUAUAUAACCUAUUCUUAUAACCUAAUUGAUAUCCAAUUGAGAUUUAACUUGUACUUGUAAUUUAAUCUAGACAUAACGUAUAACUUAACUUAUACUUAUAACAUAAUCCAGACUUAACGUUUAACUUAAGCUAUAUUUAUAACCUAGUCUAGAUUUAACAUAUAACUUAACCUUUGCUUAUAACCUAUCUCAAACUUAUAGCGUAUAACUUAAUAGACAUACAAGUUAUAAUUCAGACUUAAAGUGUAAUCUAAUUCAAACCUAAGCUAUAUUUAUAACCUAAUCCAGACCUAACCUAUACUAAUAAUCUAAUCCACGCCGAACCCUAAUCUAAUUCAAAUCAAAACUUGUUUUAAUUAGCUAAAUAAGAAACUGUGUAGAUCGCUUCUAAUUCAAAAGGGAAUAAAACAUACUAUGGAAAAUA